UCUGUCUCUUAUAUUAAAAUUGAAUUUAACUUCUAAGUGAAAAGGCUUAGAUUAACCAGAGGGACGAUAAGACCCUAUAAAGCUUUAUAAAUUUAUUGAUUUCGUCUAUUUUUCUUAUAAUAAUGAUAUUGAGAAGAUUUAUUUGGUUGGGGCAACCGAAGUAUAAUUAAAGAUAACUGCUACUAUUUUAUACAAUGAUUUUUGUUUAAAUGAUAAUUGAUCCUUAAAAAGAUUAAAGACCAAGUUACUUUAGGGAUAACAGCGUAAUUUAUCCUGAGAGUCCUUAUCAAAGGAGAAGUUUGCGACCUCGAUGUUGAAUUAAAAUGUCUAUUCAGUGCAGCAGCUGAAAAAGAAGGUCUGUUCGACCUUUAAUUUUUUACAUGAUUUGAGUUCAGACCGGCGUAAGCCAGGUU
rnacentral:rRNA from 1 species